CACGUGGGCGAGGGAGCGCGGCGGCGCGGGCCGGCCGGGCUGGCUGACGGGCGGCCGUGAGACGCUGCGGGGCUGUCCGCCGGGCCGGGGCAGCCCGGCGGCCACCCGCAAACAAGCCAAGAGCGUGCGCCUCGCCACAGGCUACUUUAAGAAAAAUGGCUUUGUCAGCCCAACAGAUAUCCAGAUGGUUCAAUUCAGUUAAAUUGAGUAGCUUCAUUACAGCUACACAAUGCGGAAAACAUUUCCAGAGACCAGGAAGAACAUUGUUGCUUGGCUUUUCUGCUCAGCCACAGAUGUCCUCUGAUAAUUGCUUUCUCCAGUGGGGAUUCAAGACUUACAGGACUUCCUCCUUAUGGAAUAGUUCCCAGUCUACCAACUCAAGUAGGCAAGAGAUUGGUUCUGGCCAAAGUACUCUGCUUCCUUGCAUGAAUGAACAGACACAGAAGACACAAAAAAUACCCAACUUUGAUUCUGAGCUGUCUCUAGAAGCACUGGACGACCUGCCUCCGGUGUCUCCGUUGCAGCCAGUUUCCGAGGAGGAGGCCGUUCAGAUUAUCGCAGACCCUCCACUGCCCCCAGAUACGUUCACGCUUCGAGACUACGUGGAUCAUUCUGAGACUCUGCAGAAGUUAGUGCUUCUAGGUACUUGUCUCCAUGCUGAAGACCUGGAGAUUACAAUGAGAGUGGAUCUCUCAAAGAUAGAAAAACAUCCAGAUGCAGCCAACCUCCUUCUGCGACUGGAUUUUGAAAAAGACAUUAAGCAAAUACUCAUGUUUCUUAAAGAUUUGGGUAUAGAGGAUAACCAGCUGGGAACAUACCUGACUAAAAACUAUGCUAUUUUCUCCGAAGACCUUGAAAAUCUUAAGACCAGAGUGGCUUAUCUGCAGUCAAAAAAUUUCAGUAAGGCACAUAUAGCACAGAUGGUCAGAAAUGCGCCAUUUUUGCUGAGUUUUUCAGUGGAAAGAUUGGAUAACAGAUUGGGAUUUUUUCAGAAAGAACUUGAACUUAGCGUGAAGAAGACUAGAGAUCUGGUAGUUCGUCUCCCAAGGCUACUAACUGGAAGUCUGGAGCCCGUGAAAGAAAACAUGAAGGUUUAUCGUCUUGAACUAGGUUUUAAACAUAAUGAAAUUCAGCAUAUGAUCACCAAAGUCCCAAAGAUGUUGACUGCAAGUAAAAGGAAACUUACUGAGACUUUUGACUAUGUGCACAAUGUGAUGAGCAUUCCCCACCACCUCAUCGUCAGGUUCCCACAGAGACACAGCGAGAGAGGGAACACAAGCAGGGCGAGUGGGAGAGGGAGAAGCAGGCUUCCCACCGAGCAGGUAGCCCGAUGCGGGGCUCGAUCCCAGGACCCUAGGAUCAUGACCUGAGCCGAAGGCAGACGCUUAACAACUAAGCCACCCAGGCGCCCCAAUAGAGUUUUUCUGUUUCAUCAAAUGUGUAUUUAAUACAAGGUUGUUUAAAGUCAAAGAAAGGCAUUUGUUUCUUACCUAUUUAGGAAGAGCACAAUAUGAUCCAACAAAACCUAACUACAUCUCUUUGGACAAGUUAGUGUCUUUGCCUGAUGAAAUAUUUUG